rnacentral:ncRNA from 2 species
UACCAUGGUAGAGGCGCUAAUGUUAAAAGUAUUUUUAGGGAGUCGGCAGAUUAAGAUCUAAAAAGAAAGGACCAUUAGCCGAAGGGGUUAAGCUGCAAACUUAUUCUCUGGACUUGCAUAUAAUAUAUGUCUGUCUGUCACUAACUCAGUGGAGUGCUACAAGGUGC